rnacentral:rRNA from 1 species
UACGUAGGGUGCGAGCGUUAAUCGGAAUUACUGGGCGUAAAGCGUGCGUAGACGGUUACAUAAGUCGGGUGUGAAAGCCCCGGGCUCAACCUGGGAAUUGCAUUCGAGACUGCGUAGCUAGGGUACGGUAGAGGGAAGCGGAAUUUCCGGUGUAACGGUGAAAUGCGUAGAUAUCGGAAGGAACACCAGUGGCGAAAGCGGCUUCCUGGACCAGUACCGACGUUCAGGCACGAAAGCGUGGGGAGCAAACAGG